ACGGGACGGGGCGGGACGGCGCU
rnacentral:miRNA from 1 species